GUCCCCUUCGUCUAGAGGCCUAGGACACUGCCCUUUCACGGCGGCGACAGGGGUUCGAAUCCCCUAGGGGACGCCA
rnacentral:tRNA from 1 species